GCUGGGGUAGCUCAGUUGGUAGAGCAUGAGAUGCUUAGUCUCAGGUAUGUGGGUUCGAAACCCACGUUGGACG